CUUACUCAGGACGGUCAACAUGGUCCCCGCGCCGAAUUCAGCAGUAUGGCCACCACAGUAAUACACUGCCUCGUCCUCGGCUUGCACCCCAGUGAUGGUCAAUGUGCUUGUGGAGCCAGAGGUGGAAGCGG